GGAUUGUCAACUUUUUCAAAUGGUAUGUCAUGGUAGGGCUCAUUUUCAUUUCUGGUCUGCCCUACCGUCUCAAAGCAAACAUAGCUAAUUUUGGCAAAUGCAAUUUAAAAAAAUGGAAAUGGGGAAAAUCUUAUGUUUGACUGUGUAACUUUCCAAAUCACCAUAAAACCUGUACUUGAGGGGUACUGUUGUACUCGUGAGACAUUU